AGGACCUAUUAUUCAGGAGAUGGUGAACUUAGGGGUUGUGUCAUUGUUUCUCAAACCAGAAAACCCCUGACUCCUUUUUCCACACUCAGCUACCACCCAAGUGUCCUCUCCUUACAGACUCUGUACUUCCUUGAUGCUACAGAGAUUUCACUGACUCCCUGCUCUCCCACCUGCCCCACACCCUGCUUCUCACAUCCUUCUUUCCCCCUUAGAUUUUCUACUCCCUUUCCCACUGUACCCUCCCACUCAGCCCUGCACCCAAGAGCUCCCUGCAGGACCUCAAACCCUUCAAGAGAAGAACCUGGGACAGAAGCCCAAGUGAAGAGUGUCAUGGAAUAGUCAAACACAAGAGGGAUGGAGCCUGCCAUCCAGGCCUGUGCAUUUUUUUAAAUACCCAGUUAUAUCAAUAGUCUUAUCUUCCUUAUAAUGUGUGGUUCAUGAUAUAGAGAUAGAGAUGUGGUUCAUGAUAUAGAAUGAGUUGCCACUAGGUCCAUUUUAAUUUUAAUUCUUCCUUUUUUCAAAAAGGCCUGAGGCAGUGUUAUAAAAAGAGUUUUUGUUCUCUAAGCACAUAGUGACUGAGGGCAAUGGAGGGGGUUUGGAGAUGUCCAGGCAGGUAGAUACUUGAAGAUAAAUCAUUUCCAUAGAUAAUUCACACUUAAUAAUUAUUCAUAUUCCUUUAUUAUAGGUGUGCCUUACAGAAAAAAAUACUUUAUUGGAAUCUAAAUUUACAACAAUAAUUGCAUUACCCUGAUAAUUUCCUUUAAAUAGCCCCUCCUAGUGCAUGUGAAAUAUGCACUGAUUUACAAAUACUUUUUCAAGAUUUUAAUCAUCAAAUAAAGAGCACAGACUAAUGUAUUUUUGAGAGUUUUCUCAGAACCAAGAUGAACAUCUUGGUUAUAAAAGCCUAUCUUUUAUAAUCUCCUCUUAUCCUAAUAAGGUAGCCCUAUUUUACAGGAAACAAUAUUUAGCUAAACUUACAGUGCUUUUUAUGAGCCACAUAUUCUUUAAACAUUUUGUAUGUAAAAUACUCAUCCAACCACCAUUCUAAUAAUAAUAUUCAUUAGUGCAUGCAUUUGUUAGCACCAUUUUAAAGUUGUGGAGAUGGAGAUUAAUCAAUGUGUCCAAGAUUACACAGCUGGGAGAUGUUGGAGGAAGAAUUUGAGCAGGAAGCUGGCAGUCUGACUUGAGCUGUGUUGUUAGCUGCUCCCUUGCAUUGCCCUAGGGUAGAUAAACUUAUGAUCACAGCACUAGCCAGUGACAGAUCUGAGAGGAAUCUAAGUCCUUCUAAGUCCAAAACCACUUACUGCCCUUUUUCUAUUUCCUAAGUAACUAACUGUCUUUGUCAUGCGGUAUUUUUAGUGGGUAAUACCUCCCACCAGUACCUGCAGCCAUCACGGCCAGCCUUGGCUUUAAUGAAGUGUAUGGCAGUGCAGUAGCCAUGGCUAAGAGGGUGGUGAGUCUGGCCAGCAAGUCUGGGGUAAGGCAGGAGGGAACCAGGGGACCAGUUUAGGUUCCUCAACCACACCUGGAAUAAUAGGGACAGGUCACAACACAGAAGCCCCUGGUAAGGCUGGGUCUGAGUAAGGGUGAAAAUUUCCUUCUUUCUGUUCCAAGAUGGCCCUGAAGGUGCUGUGCUUGGCCCAUAAACAAUAUUUCCUGCUCCAAGAAGCUAACCUCCUGACCUAUAUGAUCACAGAAUUUGAGACCAUGCAGCAGCUAGUGCAGGAGGAAAAAAUUCAGCCUGGGUCAGAGGACUGCAGAACUUCUGGCCUGGCCAGGGCAGCAACUUUGGAUCAGGACCUGUGUUCAGAGUCAACCACAGUCAUCAAACUCUAGAUGCCACUGGGCCAUUUCACCAUGAAGAAUGCUCCCCCCUCUGGCCCCACCUACUUGAAAUUUCAAUGCCAUGUUUGAUCUCUCUGAGGAGUGUCUCUCAUAGCUCAGUUUCCAUGAAAGCAUUGGCUGGGACAAAGUCCCCCAGGAGCUGAAAAGGCUGGACCAGCCCUUUGUCCCAAGCUUCUUAGUCUCCCAGGGCCACUGCCCCAGCACCCACCUUCCCAGCAGCACUCUGAACAGACCAUCUGGGCCGCUUGCAAUCCCAGGUGACUGGCACUGCGGAUGUGACAAGCCUGAGCCAAAGAGGCAAUCGAAGACAGGAAGUAGAAGAGGACAGAGUGGGCUGAAACCCAGAUGAAAGGAGGGCCAAAGGCACUGCCAGGCAUCUCAGGGACACUAAUGAGAGAGGUGGAAGGUUGGCUGGGGGCAGGAGUACACUGGGACAGAGACUCAAUUUUAUCCUUUUUUUCUGCAUUUCCCUGACUUUAAAAUGACCUGUGGAGCUGCCCAUGGGUCCCCUCUGACCUAGCAACUGGAGAAGUGAAAAGAUACUCUUUGCAAUUGGGAGAGUGCUGUCAGCUGGGAAUUGCAUCACCAGGGUUUCCUGACUCACCAGCCCAUCAAGGCUGCCCACGCCAACUUGGUCCUAGAGCCACCUACACUAGGAGUCCUGACCUACUUUUCCUCAGAGCAAUCAGCCCCAACACACUUUUCCCUUAUUAAUACAUCCUUUCCCCAGUCAUUCUGCUGCUGACCCUCUUCAUUAAUCUCCUGUUGCCCUCGGCUUCUCAGCAUGCACAUAUUCAUUUUUGAGGGUUAAUGUAUUGCUAUUUUAAAGGGUGCUCCUGGCUGGGCCCAGUAGCUCAUGCCUGUAAUCUCAGCACUUUGGGAGGCCAGGGCAAGCAGAUCACCUGAGGUCAGGAGUUUGAGAUCAGCCUGGCCGACAUGGUGAAACCCCAUCUCUACUAAAAUAACAAAAAAAAAUUAGCUAGGCAUGGUGGCAGGUGCCUGUAAUCCCCGCUAAUCAAGAGGCUGAGGCAGGAGAAUCGCUUGAACCAAGGAGGCAGAGGUUGCAGUGAGCUGAGAUCGAGCUAUUGCACUCCAGCCUAGGUGACACAGCAAUACUCCCUCUCAAAAAAAAAAAAAAAAAAAAGGUGCUCCUAUGUUCCCAUCUCAUUGAAGCCAACAUAGUCUGCUUUUGGGAACUUAAAAUUACACAGUUACUUUAAAAACAGUUUGAAAGUUUCUCAAAUAUUAAACAGAUAGUUAUGAUCCAUAAUACCAGGUCUAGUUAUAUACCCAAGUGAAUUAAAAACACAUUCAAACAAAAAUUUGUACAUGAAUAUUCAUAGCAGCCUAUUCAUUACAAUUAGAAAGUUUAAACGACCUAAAUGUCCAUCCAUUGGUGAAUAGACAAACAAAUUUGUUUGUAUAUUAUGUUAAUGGAAUAUAAUUCAACCUUCAUAAUUAAUAAAGUACUGAGAUAUACUACAACAUAAAUGUACAUCAUAAACAAUAUGCUAAAUGAAAGCAGACACUAAAGGCCACUUAUUUUGUAAUUGCACUUACAUAAAAUGUUCAGAAUAGAAAAAGUAGAUUCGUGGUUUACAGGAACCUCUAGAGUUAUGUGAGAUGUGAGGCAUGACUGUUAAUAGGUAUGGGGUUUUGGCUGGACGCGGUGGCUCACGCCUGUAAUCCCAGCACUUUGGGAGGCCAAGGCAGGCAGAUCACGAGGUCAGGAAUUUGAGACUAGCCUGGCCAACAUGGUGAAAUCUCGUCUCUACUAAAAAGACAAAAAUUAGCUGGGCAUGGUGGCGAGCACCUCUAAUCCCACCUACUCAGGAGGCUGAGGCAGGAGAAUCAUUCGAAUCCCGGAAGCAGAGGUUGCAGUGAGCCGAGAUCACACCAUCGCACUUCAGCCUGGGCAGCAGGGUGAGACUCCACCUUAAAAACAAAAAAAUAGGUAUGGGGUUUAUUUUGGGGGCAAUCAAGUGUUCUGUGUCUUCUUAUACAUAAGUGGAAUCUUCUUUGACUAGUUUUUAAAGCUAUCACUUUGUAUUGUAUCAUCUAAUCUCUUUAUUUACUUUUCCCUAUUUUCUUCAUUUUCAUCUUCUAUUUUCUUCGUGAUGAUAUCAUGUCUAUUGGCUUGUUUCUUGUAUUUUUUCUAAAGUUAUUUUUUUCUUUUUCUUCUUAUUUUGCUUCUUAUUUGCUUUUCUGAGAUCUGUUAGCACUAUUUUCUAUUUUUCUAUCGUCUAAUCAUUCCUAUCUCUUCCCAAAUCAGCAAUAUACUGUUCUUUAAAAGCUUCUAUUGGUUUUCUAAAUAUUCUUAAUUACUGUUAUUUGAAAUAUUAGAUUAUAGCUUUCAUCUGUGUUGUAUAUAAUCACAAAACUUUGUUGUUUAUAAAAAUGUUUUAUUGCUUAUUAUAAUUUUUAAUCUUGUUAGCAAUUUUAGGAAUGCCUGGCUCUCAGAGCCUUCUAAUAUCACUUUGUCCUCUUUCCCGUUCCAGACGUUUGUUUUUAUACCAAACAAGUAUUGUUGCACUUGACACUUUGGCCCAGCAAAAUAAUUUUAGUACAAGGAUAUCUUGUCACAUCAUUUGGCUGAAGAUGUUUUAAUAUAAUUUUGUUUGUUUUUGUCUU